ACUUUGGCUGUUUUUUUUUUUUUGAAGGGGGAGUCCGCCUCCCAGAUGGAGCAAGUCUCCGAGACGAGGCGGAGAGUAAGUCCAGGAUAGAGCCCUGUAGCCCAGGAUAGAGACCUGGAGCCCAGGAUAGACCCCUGA